CUCAAGAUUUUGAAAAAUUAUGCAUUAUGUUCUGACCUUGGUCUUUCUUUUUUUUAUUUAUAAAUAUGCAUUAACUAAUAUCAGAAAAAUUUUUUAAAAAUUUAUUAUUAUUUUAAAUCUUCAAAGAAGUAUUUUUGAAAUAGUGACUUAAAAAGAGAAAAGUAAGAUCAAAACUAACACAUGCAAAGAAAAUUUUAUAGCAUUGGAUGAAAUGGAAUUGUAGCCAGUUAACACCAAUCUGCCAUAAGUGUGCAGAUCAUUACCCUGAUUCACAAUUCAUCAGUUUAUUGUAUUUUAUUUAUUUUCUAUAUGGUGCUACAGUUGUGUAUACUAAAAGUAAUAAAGAAAUAACUACCUGUUAUAUGAACAAUAAUAAUUUUUUUUUGCUAUCUAUAAAUUGUAUUAAAAAUGUGUCUAGGAAAAUAUAAUAUUGUCUUCGUUUUGUAAUGUUUUAAAAUAUUUUAUAUAAUAAACUGCAUUUGUUAAGUACAAAAUGCACUGUAAAUCUGCAC
rnacentral:lncRNA from 1 species